CCUACGGGUGGCAGCAGUGGGGAAUAUUGCGCAAUGGGCGAAAGCCUGACGCAGCGACGCCGCGUGCGGGAUGAAGGUCUUCGGAUCGUAACCCUCUGUCAGCAGGGAAGAACGGUCACUGUGCUAAUCAGCAGUGAAUUGACGGUACCUGCAAAGGAAGCACCGGCUAACUCCGUGCCCGCAGCCGCGGUAAUACGGAGGGUGCGAGCGUUAAUCGGAAUUACUGGGCGUAAAGCGCUCGUAGGCGGUAUGUCAAGUCAAGGGUGAAAUCCCCGCGCUCAACGUGGGAACUGCCUUGGGAACUGGCAAACUGGAGUGUGUGAGAGGAUAGUGGAAUUCCAGGUGUAGGAGUGAAAUCCGUAGAUAUCUGGAGGAACAUCAGUGGCGAAGGCGACUAUCUGGAACAUAACUGACGCUGAGGAGCGAAAGCGUGGGUAGCAAACAGGAUUAGAUACCCCAGUAGUC
rnacentral:rRNA from 1 species